UUUAAGGUCUGGCCUGCCCAAUGAGGUAUUAAAUGGCCGCAGUAUUUUGACUGUGCAAAGGUAGCAUAAUUAUUAGUUUUUUAAUUGAAAGCUUGUAUGAAGGGUUGGACGAGGUAAAAUCUGUCUCUAUUUAAAUAAAAGUAGAAUUUAACUUUUAAGUCAAAAGGCUUAAAUAUUUAUAAAAGACGAGAAGACCCUAUAGAUCUUUAUUUAGCUAGAAUUUUAAUAAUUUAGGAUUAUUUUAAUUUAAAUUUUUAGAUAAAUUUUAUUGGGGUAAUAUAAAGAUUUAAUUAAUUCUUUUUACUAAUUACAUUGAUUUAUGAGUAAAUGAUCCAGUAUUAUUGAUUAUAAGAUUAAGUUACCUUAGGGAUAACAGCGUAAUUUUUUUGGAGAGCUCAUAUCGAUAAAAAAGUUUGCGACCUCGAUGUUGGAUUAAAAAUUAGCUUGGGUGCAGAAGCUCAAGAUUUUGGUCUGUUCGACCAUUAAAUUUUUACAUGAUCUGAGUUCAGACCGGCGUAAGCCAGGUCGGUUUCUAUCUUUAUUUAGUGGAAAUAUUUUAGUACGAAAGGACCAAAUAUUUAAUAUAAUUAUAUUUAUUUUUUGAAUAAUAUUAUUACUUUGGCAGAAUAGUGCAAUGAAUUUAGAAUUCAUGAAUGUAAUUUUUUUACAAGUAAUACUUGUAUAUAGGAGACCUACUAUUGUUAGUAUUUUGCAUAUUGAUUCUUGUAAUUUGUGUUUUAGUGGGGGUGGCCUUUUUAACUUUGUUGGAGCGAAGGGUUUUAGGUUAUAUUCAAAUUCGU
rnacentral:rRNA from 1 species